UGAAUACGAGAUGCUACGGCGUCGAAGCAGUCUAUGUCAUACUUCCAAGAAAAGCUUGCACUGUCAUAAACAAAUAAUGCCUGUACCAUAACCGACACAGGUGGGUAGGUAGAGUAUACUAAGGGGCGCGAGAUAACUCUCUCUAAGGAACUCGGCAAAAUGACUCCGUAACUUCGGGAGAAGGAGUGCCUUAUUUAUAAGGUUGCAAUAACAAGACCCAAGCAACUGUUUAUCAAAAACACAGGUCUCCGCUAAGUCGUAAGACGAUGUAUGGGGGCUGACGCCUGCCCAGUGCCAGAAGGUUAAAGAAGUUGGUUAGCAUUAGCGAAGCUGAUGACUGAAGCCCUGGUGAACGGCGGCCGUAACAAUAACGGUCCUAAGGUAGCGAAAUUCCUUGUCGGGUAAGUUCCGACCCGCACGAAAGGCGUAAUGAUUUGGGUACUGUCUCAGAGAGGGACUCGGUGAAAUAGACUUGUCUGUGAAGAUGCGGACUACCUGCACCUGGACAGAAAGACCCUAUGAAGCUUUACUGUAACCUGAAAUUGAAAUUGGACUUUAUUUGCGCAGUAUAGGUGGGAGGCUUUGAAGAUAUUCUUGCGGGAAUGUUGGAGCCAUCAGUGAGAUACCACUCUUGUAAUGUUAGAUUUCUAACUUUGUAUCAUUAUCUGGUCAAAGAACAGUUUCAGGCGGGCAGUUUGACUGGGGCGGUCGCCUCCUAAACGGUAACGGAGGCGCACAAAGGUUUCCUCUGAACGGGUAGAAAUCGUAUCUAGAGUGUAAAGGCAUAAGGAAGCUUGACUGUGAGACCUACAAGUCGAGCAGGGACGAAAGUCGGUCUUAGUGAUCUGACGGUGCUGAGUGGAAAGGCCGUCACUCAACGGAUAAAAGUUACUCUAGGGAUAACAGGCUGAUCUCCCCCAAGAGUUCACAUCGACGGGGAGGUUUGGCACCUCGAUGUCGGCUCAUCGCAUCCUGGGGCGGUAGUACGUCCCAAGGGUUGGGCUGUUCGCCCAUGAAAGCGGUACGCGAGCUGGGUUCAGAACGUCGUGAGACAGUUCGGUCCAUAUCCGGUGUAGGCGUUAGAAUAUUGAGAGGAGCCUUCUCUAGUACGAGAGGACCGAGAAGGACACACCUCUGGUGUACCAGUUAUCGUGCCAACGGUAAACGCUGGGUAGCUAUGUGUGGAGCGGAUAACCGCUGAAAGCAUCUAAGUGGGAAGCCCACCUCAAGAUAAGUAUUCUCAUG
rnacentral:rRNA from 1 species